rnacentral:tRNA from 1 species
GUGGAUGUAGCUCAGUUGGUCAGAGUACCAGGUUGUGGCCCUGGGGGUCGCCGGUUCGAGCCCGGUUAUCCACCCCA